rnacentral:tRNA from 1 species
GCCGCCGUAGUAUAGCCCGGUCAAGUAUGCGGGCCUCUCGGGCCCGAGCGCGGGAGACCCGGGUUCAAAUCCCGGCGGCGGCACCA